GCAAGUAUAGCUCAAGUGGCAGAGCACUUGCUUAGCAUGCAUGAAGUCCUGAGUUCAAUCCCCAGUAUCUCCU
rnacentral:tRNA from 1 species